rnacentral:rRNA from 1 species
AGUCGAACGGUAACGAACUAGCUUGCUAGUUGCUGACGAGUGGCGGACGGGUGAGUAAUACUUAGGGAUCUGCCUCUGUGUGGGGGAUAACUAUUGGAAACGAUAGCUAAUACCGCAUAACGUCUACGGACCAAAGAGGGCUUCGGCUCUCGCGCAGAGAGGAACCUAAGCGAGAUUAGCUUGUUGGUGAGGUAAAGGCUCACCAAGGCGACGAUCUCUAGCUGUUCUGAGAGGAAGAUCAGCCACACUGGAACUGAGACACGGUCCAGACUCCUACGGGAGGCAGCAGUGGGGAAUAUUGCACAAUGGGGGCAACCCUGAUGCAGCCAUGCCGCGUGUGUGAAGAAGGCCUUCGGGUUGUAAAGCACUUUCAGUUGUGAGGAAAGGUUAGUAGUUAAUACCUGCUAGCUGUGACGUUAACAACAGAAGAAGCACCGGCUAACUCCGUGCCAGCAGCCGCGGUAAUACGGAGGGUGCGAGCGUUAAUCGGAAUUACUGGGCGUAAAGCGCACGCAGGCGGUCUGUUAAGCUAGAUGUGAAAGCCCCGCGCUCAACGUGGGAGGGUCAUUUAGAACUGGCAGACUAGAGUCUUGGAGAGGGGAGUGGAAUUCCAGGUGUAGCGGGGAAAUGCGUAGAGAUCUGGAGGAACAUCAAUGGCGAAGGCAACUCCCUGGCCAAAGACUGACGCUCCUGUGCGAAAGUGUGGGUAGCGAACAGGAUUAAAUACCCUGGUAGUCCACACCGUAAACGCUGUCUACUAGCUGUUUGGGGAUUUAAUCCUGAGUGCCGAACCUAACCCCAUAAGUA